GGUUAAGCGACUAAGCGUACACGGUGGAUGCCCUGGCAGUCAGAGGCGAUGAAGGACGUGCUAAUCUGCGAUAAGCGCCGGUAAGGUGAUAUGAACCGUUAUAACCGGCGAUUUCCGAAUGGGGAAACCCAGUGUGAUUCGUCACACUAUCAUUAACUGAAUCCAUAGGUUAAUGAGGCGAACCGGGGGAACUGAAACAUCUAAGUACCCCGAGGAAAAGAAAUCAACCGAGAUUCCCCCAGUAGCGGCGAGCGAACGGGGAGGAGCCCAGAGCCUGAAUCAGCAUGUGUGUUAGUGGAAGCGUCUGGAAAGGCGCGCGAUACAGGGUGACAGCCCCGUACACAAAAGCGCAUGUGCUGUGAGCUCGAUGAGUAGGGCGGGACACGUGGUAUCCUGUCUGAAUAUGGGGGGACCAUCCUCCAAGGCUAAAUACUCCUGACUGACCGAUAGUGAACCAGUACCGUGAGGGAAAGGCGAAAAGAACCCCGGCGAGGGGAGUGAAAAAGAACCUGAAACCGUGUACGUACAAGCAGUGGGAGCACCCUUUGGGGUGUGACUGCGUACCUUUUGUAUAAUGGGUCAGCGACUUAUAUUCUGUAGCAAGGUUAACCG
rnacentral:rRNA from 1 species